CACAAGCGGUGGAUGAUGUGGUUUAAUUCGAUGCAACGCGAAAAACCUUACCCACCUUUGACAUGGCAGGAAUCCUGAAGAGAUUUGGGAGUGCUGAAAGAGAACCUGCACACAGGUGCUGCAUGGCUGUCGUCAGCUCGUGUCGUGAGAUGUUCGGUUAAGUCCGCUAACGAGCGCAACCCUCGCUGUGUGUUAUAUGUGUCACACGGGACUGCCGGUCUUAAGCCGGAGGAAGGUGGGGAUGAUGUCAAGUCAGCAUGGCCUUUAUAUCCUGGGCUACACACACGCUACAAUGGCCAACACAAUAGGUUGCUAAGCCGCGAGGUGGCGCCAAUCCAUAAAGUUGGUCUCAGUUCAGAUUGUAGGCUGCAACCCGCCUGCAUGAAGAUGGAGUUGCUAGUAACCGCAGGUCAGCUAUACUGCGGUGAAUACGUUCCCGGGGCUU
rnacentral:rRNA from 1 species